UGUGCUCGUCCAUGUGCGUGUACGUUCGUGCCGCGGAGAAGCCGAGGACAAAGCACAAACGCCUUGGAGAAGAGGAGACGAAGCGGAGACCCUAAACCCUAACCCUAGAUUUUGGCUCUUCGAAUCGUUCCCCUUUCCUCCUCCUCCUCCUCCUCCUGAUCACGUUCGAGGUUGCUGUAAUGGAGAAGUUCUCGGGCGAUGAUAACUUCGAUUUCCCGCACUUUCGCAUCUAUCCUCGUCGACAUCGGUGUUGUUCUCAAUCAGGUUAAGAUCCACAUGAAGAUCGUUGACCAAAUAGUAAAUGCAAGUGCGGCAGUCAAGUAGGUCCAAAGAAAGAUGACGGAGCACUCUUCUUGACCAACAUCGAACAAUUCAGCCAUUGUACCUGCAUGUGGUGUUAGUAACUCUUCCGCAAUCUGAUGGAUAGUUCCGCCAGUAAUUUCUUUGAAUCUUUCCCAGUUGUUGGACAUGCAGCUUCUCAUCUUUCUACGGGAUAAAAAUGGUUUAGAUGAAGGUGAAAGUAAAGCAUCCUGAUCACUACAGCUAGCUUCUGUUUCUCGGAUGUUGAAGUGUGCAUUUCCACUUUCCUCCGAUUUCUCGUCAAUUGUCUUCGAUAGUCUACUUUCAUUUUGGAUUUUGUCAUAUAGUUGAGCUGAUUUGUGCAUAAGAUCAUACGUGUGUGUCCAUAUGAAGAUACCACCAAGCUACAUGAACAGUAAGAACUUGCAUAAAUCUAGACCUAAAAAGACAAGAAUACUAUUAUGGACUUUGGCAUAAAGAGGGUAGAGAUUUUCCUACCGCCAUAGAAAAAGACACAUAAGAAAGUCCGUUGGAAUUACAUGUGCUGGGCUCUCCAAAUGGAUUUCCCUCCUCAUUGCAGAUUGCUGGGAUAAUAAUCAGAGGCAAAUUGCCCAAGUUACCUGGAGUGCAUAGGAGAUAAUACAAUCCUUCUAGUGAUUAGAUAACUUUAGAAUAGUUUAUCAAAUCUUUAAACAAUUUUGGUGGCUAUUACCAGCUGAGCAACUAGCAAUGAUAAUCUUCUCAAGAUAUUUUUCUGGUCUUAAGAUCUUCACUACUAUCCACCCUAGAAUCCCCCCAAUCAAGAACGUUAUCCCAAUGUUCACAGGCAUAAACCACCUGCGAGUUACCAAGGAAAUUUAGUUACACCUAACAUCCUUAAUUAUCUCGAAGGCAUAAGGGGUUGAUACUUACCAAGAAAUUAUCUCUUCCAGAGUAACUGUCUUUGCGAGACUCGCAAAGACGAGAGCUGGGCCAAAAACUGCAAACAGUAUCUAGGUAGUACAAAAGAAAUCAAGAUUUGAAGGGCAUGAGCAAUUUUAUGUAGGAGCCGAGAGAAUGUUGGCGUAUCCAGAUGCGAGAAAAGCUCCGAGUGUUCCUACGAGCAUGAUCUCGGCCACCGGCACUGAUGCCAUCAUGAACAGAGACCAAAACUCCAUCUUGUUCUUCUCCCUUCCCUCUCUCCUGCUGUAAGAACAGCAUGGCAUGUAAAAUCUCUGCAGAAGAACCAACAAAGUAAUUGAGGUCAUGAAGAGCCCCAUGUGUCUACCUAUGGUGGGGGUCCAUAUGAAAUUCGUCAUUUCAGAAACUUACUGAAGUAAAUGCGUAAGUGCAUUAAAGAAUCCUGCUGGCAUUUUGUUUAGGAAAUUCGGUGUAAAAUACUGACUUCCAUUCGACUGUCAAGUAUCAAAGUUAUCAAAAUGAUUCCUAUGUUUAUCAAGUUUCUUGGUGUUGUAUAAAGAUGAUUGUUAUAAAUAACACUCCAAUGGCUGUUGAGUUGAGCAUAUACCUAGUUUCAGCAUAUAUUUACUGCAUCUGAACAACUGUGGAAGGCAUUGCAAGAUUGUCUGUAAAAACAUUGUGCAGAGAUAUGCCAUUUAUUUUUUUCA